UACGUAGGGGGCAAGCGUUGUCCGGAAUCAUUGGGCGUAAAGGGCGUGUAGGUGGCGCGCUAAGUCGGGUGUGAAAUUUCGGAGCUUAACUCCGAAACUGCAUUCGAUACUGGCGUGCUUGAGGACUGGAGAGGAGACUGGAAUUCAUGGUGUAGCAGUGAAAUGCGUAGAGAUCAUGAGGAAGACCAGUGGCGAAGGCGGGUCUCUGGACAGUUCCUGACACUGAGGCGCGAAAGCGUGGGGAGCAAACAGG
rnacentral:rRNA from 1 species